GACGAACGCUGGCGGCGUGCUUAACACAUGCAAGUCGAACGGAGUGGCGAACGGGUGAGUAACACGUGGGUGAUCUGCCUUGCACUUCGGGAUAAGCUUGGGAAACUGGGUCUAAUACCGGAUAGUGCAAGAUGAGUUCGCGGCCUAUCAGCUUGUUGGUGGGGUAACGGCCUACCAAGGCGUCGACGGGUCGCCGGCCUGAGAGGGUGUACGGCCACAAUGUGCCUGAGCUGCGAACCUGACUCCUACGGCAGGCAGCAGUGCAGAAUAGUUCUCACUGAGCGGAAUCCUAAUGCACCGACUCCGCGUGGGGGAUGAAGGCCUUCGUGUUGUACACUCCUUUCGACGGGGACGCGGUACCUGUAUAAGAAGCACCAGCUAACUUCGUUCCAGCAGCCGCGGUAAUAC
rnacentral:rRNA from 1 species